GAAUGUACAUUUAGUAGUGCAGCGCGUUUUAAUUAUUUCACAUCAUUUGUUACGUUGGCUUCACAGUUUGACUGAUUGGUCAUGACUUGGUCGGCUAGGUUACGACCACAUGGCUUCGGAUGCCGACCAGCUGUGGACCAUCAACGACUCGAGUCCACCCACUUUCCUCCGUGGUUAGCACCAGCGGUUGGAAUCGUGCCGAUGCGUGAGACGUGCCCGGAACAUUCAAAGAAACCUCUGUAGCUUGCGGGAAGAUAUGAGGAGUACUUUCACGGAGGUCACACAAUGCACCUCAUCAGUCCUGCAAUCUUCACUCCUGCCCGCUGGCCUGAUAGUUCGCAUCAUGGUUUGGAUCAACAGGGGAAAUUCAAGCGUCGGAGGGCGGCGAUGAAAGUGCAAGCGCUCGGAUUCGGGUACGAAGUGUGUAGGCGAUGACGCUGGCCGAGUGGUCAGAGCCAGCUGAUCAUCACGGAGCGACAGCGAAGGAGCGAACGCUGCAUGAUGGAUCAAAGGUCAUCGCAGCACCAGCUGUUUGGAGAGGGUACACAAUGCCAAGGUGUUGAACCUACUUACAACGAGGAUCACUGGCCUCGGACAAAAGCUGCUGCCCCAAGGCAGCAAAGGAGUGGCAAUGGGAUGAGCAGGAUACAUUAACAGGUGCUUUCAAGGUUUCACCUCCUUCCCUCCUGGUUUGGUGUGGUUAUCUUGCUUCAGCUACAGCACCAAGAACGAUUGUGCAUCGUCCAGAACCUUAUAGUCUGGCACUUUCGGCUUCAUAAUCUGUUCCUGUGACAAUGUUGCCAACUUUGUCCCACAUGGAUGGUCUGCCAUCUCUGCAUUUCUGGAAAAGUUAUUGCACACCGCCGACAUCUGGAACAUUUGUGGAAUAUUAUGAAAGCCACCCCUGAAACAGUGGAUACUUCUGCAGCUGGAUCUCGGCAGCACUUUUCUGAGCUCAGUGACGAACUACGUGAUAUUUCGUCGCAUAGGUCCAGCCUUUCAAAAUUCAGUGCAGAACAAGGAGUAUCGGAUCACAAAAUGCUCCCGACCUUCUGAGGCUGGUGUUGCUGUCCAGUGUAUGAAAACUGAUGAAGUAAAAAGUUGCAAAGUACUUCUUGGCAUAAUGCUCAGUUUCUUAUCGGCACAACAAGACGUACAGUACGAUUAUAUGCUGCACGAGACUCGGUGUCUCACACUAUCAAAGAUGAACACAAGCUGGAAAUUAGUUGAAAUUGUGUUUAAAGAGCAAUACAUGGCUAAUGCAGUGCGUUCGCUCACCAUUGUGAAUCAUGUCAGGAGUACAACCAAACCACAUUCUCAAAAUAACUAUUGUUGCCCAAGCUGCCACAGUGCAAGAAAUAAU